rnacentral:rRNA from 1 species
GAUGAACGCUGGCGGCGUGCCUAAUACAUGCAAGUCGAGCGAACAGACGAGGAGCUUGCUCCUUUGACGUUAGCGGCGGACGGGUGAGUAACACGUAGGUAACCUACCUAUAAGACUGGGAUAACUUCGGGAAACCGGAGCUAAUACCGGAUAAUAUUUUGAACCGCAUGGUUCGAUAGUGAAAGACGGCUUUGCUGUCACUUAUAGAUGGACCCGCGCCGCAUUAGCUAGUUGGUAAGGUAACGGCUUACCAAGGCGACGAUGCGUAGCCGACCUGAGAGGGUGAUCGGCCACACUGGAACUGAGACACGGUCCAGACUCCUACGGGAGGCAGCAGUAGGGAAUCUUCCGCAAUGGGCGAAAGCCUGACGGAGCAACGCCGCGUGAGUGAUGAAGGUCUUCGGAUCGUAAAACUCUGUUAUUAGGGAAGAACAAAUGUGUAAGUAACUAUGCACGUCUUGACGGUACCUAAUCAGAAAGCCACGGCUAACUACGUG